rnacentral:rRNA from 1 species
CAGCUUUCCGUAGGCAUACUGACGGCUGGAGCUUGAAAGCGCGGGUAUCGAACAGGAUUAGAUACCCUGGUAGUCCGCGCGGUAAACGAUGGAUACCCGCUGUCCGGCCUUUUGGUCGGGUGGCCAAGCGAAAGCAUUAAGUAUCCCACCUGGGGAGUACGCCGGCAACGGUGAAACUCAAAGGAAUUGACGGGGGCCCGCACAAGCGGAGGAACAUGUGGUUUAAUUCGAUGAUACGCGAGGAACCUUACCCGGGCUUGAACUGCAGCUGAACGAUUCAGAGAUGAUGAGGCCCUUCGGGGCAGCUGUGGAGGUGCUGCAUGGUUGUCGUCAGCUCGUGCCGUGAGGUGUCGGCUUAAGUGCCAUAACGAGCGCAACCCUUGCGGUCAGUUGCCAUCAGGUUAUGCUGGGCACUCUGGCCGGACUGCCACCGUAAGGUGUGAGGAAGGUGGGGAUGACGUCAAAUCAGCACGGCCCUUACGUCCGGGGCUACACACGUGUUACAAUGGGGCAUACAGAGAGCCGGUCGUUCGCAAGUGCGAUCCAAUCCUUAAAGUGCCUCGUAGUUCGGAUUGGGGUCUGCAACCCGACCCCAUGAAGCUGGAUUCGCUAGUAAUCGCGCAUCAGCCAUGGCGCGGUGAAUACGUUCCCGGGCCUUGUACACACCGCCCGUCAAGCCAUGAAAGCCGGGGGCGCCUGAAGUCCGUGACCGCAAGGAUCGGCCUAGGGCGAAACCGGUGAUUGGGGCUAAGUCGUAACAAGGUAGCCGUA